AUGUUUAUUUUUGCACCUAAAUAGUUGGGCCUUUUGCUAAAAAAAAAAAUAUUUGGGCCAAGCCCAGAAAAUAAGAAAAUAACGUGACAAAGUUGAAACAAUGUGUUUCAUGACUAUCCUUCUUCAAACCUAAUUCUCUCUUCGACGGCGGCUCGACGGUAGUGAAUUCAAAUCCGGAAAAAUAGCUUCAGAUCUUCAACGCUGCUUGAUUCUUUCAGUGGUGCUGGCUCCAGGAAGUCUUUAAUUGAUGUGUUUUGGCUUAUCUUGCUUCAAUAAAGAUGGAGAAAGAGAAGGAGAAGGAGAAGGAAAAGUAGAAGAAGAAGAGAUUCGACCCAAAAAAAAGAUGAGAUCGACCAAAGAAGGUGAAGAAUAAGAAGAAGAUGAGUCGAAAAAUAAGAAGAAUGAAUGAAAGAAGAGUUAUAAUCGAAGUAGAAGAAGAGUAGGCGGCUGGAAUAUGAGGUUAUGUUAGGGUUUUAAUUCUUUCGGUUAACCGUUCGGUUCUCUCGAACCGAACCGGAAAUCUCGGUUAACCGAAAUGAUUUUGAAAUCCCACCGAUCGGUUAUGAUCAAUUAACAUUAACCGAACCGAUUUGCCCAAACCUCGGUUCGGUUCGGUUCGGUUCAGAUUCCCAGGCCUAAAAAUAAUGUUAUGGGAAUUGAGAAACUAUAAUGUGAUCCAAUAGUUGUUAGAGGCUCUGUUUCGUUGGUUGCUCUGUUUCUCUAGCUUUGCCUAGUUCCACUUAACAUUUGUACAUAUUUCCUUUAUUUUUAUUAAUAAUAAUUGAUUACGUUUGAUCUAUAUUGAUGUGGUUGAAAUAUUAAUA
rnacentral:lncRNA from 1 species